rnacentral:lncRNA from 1 species
GUUUGGGAAGGCUCUUUAGGCAUGCCAAACAAAUGUCCCCCAUUCUUCAACCAGAGCAUACUGGCUUCCUCGUCAGAUCACCCUCCCCACUCUCCUUCUCUCCUCCCACCAUGACAAUGCUCUGAUGAUGGUUUCUGCUAUCUAAGGCCCUCACACCCCAGCAGAGCCACUAUUGGCUGGGUAGUGGUUUGCUGACCAAUCAAAGCUCAGUGGUGUGGCCCCGCCCUGUCCUGGAAGGGUAUAUAUAGGGAAGCCAGGAGGCCUGGAGUAGACCACUGAGAGACCCCGAGGUGGUGAAGAUAACCAGGAAACCAAGCAAUCAGACCAGUUGUAGAACCCCCACCCACCAACACCAAAGAGUCAAGGAAGACAAAGUCCCCCUCUUAACCCAGGCCCAGAAGCCCUAUCAAGGUGAGUGACACACCCAAGCUCCUCCUUGUCUUCCCCUUGACUCCUCCCUCCCAAGACUCCUACCCUGUCCUUGCCUGGCACAACCGCCCAACCCAGCCUGUAACCUUCACAUGAAACCCCUGGUCCCACUCAUCCUCUAUCCCCUUCCCCAAAACCAGUGCCUUUCUGUGAUCUCUCUGCUGUCCUUCUGGGUCCCAAGACAAUCUGAAAGGGAAAAGGAAGACUUCGAGGGAGUUCCAGGGAAAAAGCUUCUCCAGAAUGAUCACCACUUCAAGAAAAGCUGAGCAUGAGAGAGGGCCAAUGCAAUCCAGACACUGUGACCAGCUGAAUGAGAAACUCAAUCAAAAUGAGCCACAGCAACACCAAAAGAGCCAGGAGACCUCCACCACCUGAAGCUUCUCCCUGGGCAGCCAUUAAUUUCAGGGCAAGGCCAGAGACCUCAGAUCUAUUUGAGAAGUCUCCAG